UACGGAGGGUGCAAGCGUUGUCCGGAUUUAUUGGGUUUAAAGGGUGCGUAGGUGGUAUUGUAAGUCUGGUUUGAAAGCUGGUCGCUUAACGAUCAGAUGUGGCUGGAAACUGCGGUACUUGAAUGGAUUGGCGGUAGCCGGAAUGGGUCAUGUAGCGGUGAAAUGCAUAGAUAUGACCCGGAACACCGAUUGCGAAGGCAGGCUACUACGAUUUGAUUGACACUGAGGCACGAGAGCAUGGGUAGCGAACAGG
rnacentral:rRNA from 1 species